AUUAAGAACAGGUUGCUCUGGCAUAUUACAAAAUGGUUGCUUUUCCUCUCCUCUGCUAGAAGCACAAGGGGAUUUUUCUCUGAUCUUUACUGUGAGAACCUGGUAAAGCCUCUGGAGGUAAAAUUCACAAAGUAUGGGGGCCCCUCAAUUAUUGAGCCCCCCCCCUGAAGUUUUUAACUCUCAGGCUCGUCCGCUCUGAGCCUCCAGCAAUUUGUCAAUUACAAUUCUGGUUUUCCUACCAGAAACUGGUUUCCACAGAGGUUUCAUCUCAUGAGUUUCUGUUCUGCAUGGCUGACAAGUGGUGUAGGUCCAUGUCCAGGAUACAAACCCACGAAACUGGGCCGCCGAAAUGGAGCACACCAAACUUCACUACGCUAGGGGGCUGGCCCCUCAAAUGCAUUUUUAUUACAGAAAUGUGGUUUUGCUUUAGAGAGACCAUCAGUCCCAGUGAUCAGAAGGCCACCGAAUUUCAGAACUUCAUUGCUGCUUUGAGCACCAGUUCUACCUCCAAGGAGGCCGAAGGGAUGCUAAAUAGUAUUUUUCACAGUUGAAGACUCCAUUUCACCUUGAUAUCCCUUAAGCGUAAUGACAGUUCUCCGUUUAGACCAAUUUAAGUAUGGAAGUUGGGAGGGAGCAGAGGGAAGCUACAGAAACUUUGCAGGGAGGAGUAGAGGCGAGAGGCCAAUACUUAUUUAUGCAAAAGGCCAGCGGACGCUUAAUUGCUUGGAGGCUUAUGUCUCAAUUUUAACUUUAUAUCCUUACCUGGGGAAAAGGAGAAUAGCAUUCAUUCAUCUGCCUAUUUAUUGAAAGUCUUCCAUGAGCAAUCACUAUAAGUGGGGGUAAAUAGAGUGGAGGUUUAGAGAGCUAGAGUGGAAAAGAAGAAGAAAAACUCAACACAAGAUUAAAAUGUGGCCUCUAUCCUUAAGAAAUAACAAUGAAGUGGGAAAAUGAAACGAAUAAACUUUUAAAAAAUUAAUUGAGCAGCAAGUGUUCAGAGGAGUUGAAAGUUCAAAAGGAGUCUUUGUUAUUUCUGUUACCCCAAUCCCAUCACACACACACAUUCACCCACCAAUACUUUACAGCUGUGCCAGGCCUCGGAU
rnacentral:lncRNA from 1 species